GGACAAUGAUUCGUGAGCCGCACGCCUGGAAGCGACUGAGCCUGCUGACCUGGACCUGCUGGACGCCUUUUGAACAAAGGGGAGCAAUAGUGCCUCAGCCUUUGCUUUUCAAGGCCAGCCUUCGCUGAGGUGAUCUGGUUAGAGACUUUUGGACUCCCGGGGGAUCUUUACCUGUCUACGUCUUUCCUCUUUGGCGUCACCACAUGCGCCUGGGGUUGCUCCAAGACCCCGUGGGCUUUUCCCUAGAGCACGCCCCUUUACAGUUCCAGGCCACAUGGACUGCAUCUGACGUGACCUCUGGUCACCCACAGCGUGCAGAGCUGUUGCUUAUUUCACGACUUCAGUGGCCUCUGCGAUACUCUCCCAGGUGCCAUCCCAGGAGGAAAGGCAGCAGGCCUCGUGUGGAAGGGCUGCCCAGAGUCCCAGACACCUGGGUUUGAGCUACAGCCCCGCCAUUUGCCAGCUGUGUCACCUGUGAAGGUGCUUACUGGACUCCAAGUGCAGCAGCAGAGCGCAGAGCGUGACACUCUGCGUCAGUGAGGCGGCUGUGAAUGUUAAUUUCCCAGGUAAUUCUGUAUCAGUACAUGAGCCUUACAUAUUAAAUUUUCCCAGGAGGUUCAGCAGCCAGAGGAGACUUUGGAAAACCCUGAGAACCCCAAAAUUUGCCCAGUGACUUAGGGAACACCCUAGGGUGGUUGGCCUGGGAAACAAACAAGAAGAAAAUUGGCGUUUUGUUUGUGGAAAUUGGAAAAGAGACAUACCUCGCAAGCUGCUCUGGACAGCCUCUGACUCUGCUCUCAGCAAGCUGGAUAAUUUGGCUCGCAAUGUGUCUAACUCUGAUCUGUGUGCUGGAGAGACUGGGGCGCUCCCCUCCAUCUCCUGAUGUUCUGCCCCAAAUCUGAGGCUUCUCGAAGUAAACUGAUGAUGCCCAGUUCAACCAUCAUUUAAUACAAUAAACGUUCAGGGAGCACGUUUGCCGGAUCCCACAGGUACCCGGACGCAAGUGCACAGUCUCUCCUCCAUCUGCGUCUCCAGCCUCAUCUCCAGCCACUCCCUGACUCGAUCAGCUGCUCCACCAGGAGCAGACUUCAGGGCCUUUCCAGCCCACCUUGUGCUUUCCCUCCUGUGACCAUUCAUCCUCUCCCACGUUCUGUCUGAGUCCUGCCUGAGCUCACAUCCGUUUCUAAUUCUCCCUCUCCCUGUCGUCCACCUGGUUACUGCAGUCGACCGUGUUCUCUCCCACUGGCACCACACAAGGGAAAGCAAAGCAGAGGUUUGCUGAAUACCUUGUCUCUGGCCAAAGGACCAAGAGGACAGGUUUGCCUGGUCCUCAGUCCAAAGUGCUCAUGUUCCUGCAGUAAGUGCCCUGCCACCUCCCCAAGCCUUAAGUUCAGCCCACGGGCCUCCUGUGAUUAAUUAUUUUGUGUGUAGAAAUCAACAAGCUGCCAUAAUUGACAGCAGAGCAGAAAUGAGGAAACAGCCACAAGAUUAGAACAAAGAUCAAGACUUUAGCCAAAGUGAGCAGUCCUCGUCAAAGAUGGAAAUGAGAAAGUGUGCUGCAGGGAAUUCACUGAGCCCUUGGGAGGCGUUUGGAACCUCCCGCGGAGUUUGGAGUGGGAUUUGAACAGUUCUCCCAAAGUUCCUAAGAGCUGAAACCUGGGGUGCACAAGACGAAUUGUUGCUGAGGAACGUCAGCCGUGUAGAAUCCUGUCAUCUGAAAGCUCCGAGGGUCGGAGUCUGUUUACCUAGUCCAGUGCUUCUUGAACCUGCUGUCUUUGGAAUUCUCUAGGGGAUUCUUUAAAAUGAAGAUUUCUUAGAGAUUUUGAUUCUCAUAUCUGUCCUUUUGAGAAAUAAGUUCCCCCUCCUGUGACUCUAAAGCGUUCGGUCCACGGUCUGAGUUUCUGAUGAGUUAUCCCAGCGCCUCCUUCAUUACACGGGUGAGAGGAGGUGAGCCUGCAGAGCCCUGGGCAGCUGAGAUUGGGGGCAGGUGUUGAAGGGCACACGUAGGGUGAGGGACUGAAGACCACGCUCGUAACCUUAGAUGUCUCCUGCAAGAGCUGGUUGUGGACAGAGCUGAGGAAAGUGGAGCGUUUCACGAGGAUUCAGUUCAGGUUUAUACCGAAUUUUCACUUUGUAACUUGCUCGAGUUUAGAUUUGUAUGUAUGUCCUCAAAAAUAUUUUUUGCCUUGCUGAACAUGCAUCUGGGGAGUGUUUCUGCCUUCUAGAGUGUGCUGUGUUCCCUGUAGUGGUUCUAGCAAACACCUUCCUUAUUUAUUAGGGGAGGAGGGAAGGAGAGAGGAUUUGAUAAGACUGUGUGCCCUCCAGAGCUGGAGAAGCUGCGUCCCAUUUCUUGGGAACUUACUCAAUUUGAAUCUCAGCACAUCCUUUAAAACCUG